AAGAAAAUAAGAAAGGGCGUAUAGGGAAUGCCUUGGCUCUCAUAGUCGAAGAAGGACGUGACAAGCUGCGAUAAGCUCCGGGGAAGUGCUAAUAACUGGUGAUCCGGAGAUUUCCGAAUGGGGAAACCCGUGGCGCUGAAGGCGCCACACUCCGAUGCAAAUCGGAGAGGCAACCUGCUGAACUGACACAUCUAAGUAAGCAGAGGAAGAGAAAACAAUAGUGAUUUCCUUAGUAGCGGCGAGCGAAACGGAAAUAGCCCAAAACUGUUUAGUUUCGGCUAAACAGUGGUUGCAGGACCUCAAUAUGAAGAUAAAAUUCAACUUGAAUUAUUCUGGAAAGGUAAGCGAUACAGGGUGAUAGCCCCGUAAAGGUUAGAUUUUAUCGGAUAGAGGUAUCCUAAGUACUGCGGGACAUGUGAAAUCCUGUAGGAAUCUGCCAGAACCAUCUGGUAAGGCUAAAUACUAAUGAGAGACCGAUAGUGAACCAGUACCGCGAGGGAAAGGUGAAAAGUACUUCGAACAGAAGGGUGAAAUAGUACCUGAAACUAUACGCUUACAAGCUGUAGGAGAUGAAAAUUAUCCGGGCAACCGGUAUAAUGAGUAAUUGACUGCGUGCCUUUUGCAUAAUGAGCCUACGAGUUACUCCUCUCUAGCAAGGUUAAUCCCGACACUGUCGGGAGGAGCCGUAGCGAAAGCGAGUCUGAAUAGGGCGCUUUAGUUAGAGGGGGUAGACGCGAAACUUUGUGAUCUACCCAUGGUCAGGAUGAAGGUCUGGUAACACAGACUGGAGGUCCGAACAAGUAUGCGUUGAAAAGCAUUUUGAUGAACUGUGGGUAGGGGUGAAAGGCCUAUCAAACUGAGAGAUAUCUCGUACUCCCCGAAAUGUUUUUAGGAACAGCGUUGUGGUCAAGUCAGCUGGAGGUAGAGCUACCAAUAGGGCUAGGGGGUUUCACCACCUACCAAACCCUGAUGAACUCCGAAUACCGGUUGAUAUACACAGCAGUGAGCCCUUGGGUGCUAAGGUCCGAGGGCGAGAGGGAAAGAACUCUGACCAACAGCUAAGGUCCCUGAAUCUAUACUAAGUUGUACAAAGGAAGUCCAAUCGCUAAGACAGCCAGGAUGUUGGCUUGGAAGCAGCCAUUCAUUUAAAGAGUGCGUAACAGCUCACUGGUCAAGGGAUAGGGCAUCAAUAAUAAUCGGGCAUAAAGUAUAGUACCGAAGCUUUGGAUCCCGAUUUAAAUCGGGAUGGUAGGGGAGCAUUCUAGUCAGCAUUGAAGUCAUACCGUGAGGUGUGAUGGAGCGUCUAGAAAAGCAGAUGUAGGCAUAAGUAACGAUAAUGGCGAAGGGAAAUCGCCACACCGUAAGACUAAGGUUUCCUGAUCAACGAUAAUCGGAUCAGGGUUAGUCGGGUCCUAAGAUGUAUCCUGCCUCGCAGGAAAAUUUCGAUGGACAGCUGGUUAAUAUUCCAGCACUAGCUUGUUGUCGCUUAAACUAUGGGGUGACGGAGGAGUGAAAGUACCGCCCGGAUACGGAAUUCCGGGUUGAAACCAGUAGAUAUAGGUUGUGCAGUUAAAUGCGCACGACUUGUCGAAGGUGAAAGUACGGUGAGUCUUCGGACGAACCGAUAGUGUACCUAAUCCGACUUCCAAGAAAACCCUCUAUGUAUGGCGACAAGCUACCCGUACCGCAAACCGACACAGGUAGUCAAGGAGAGUAUCCUAAGGUGCUCGAGUGAAUCAUGGCUAAGGAACUCGGCAAAUUUGCCCUGUAACUUAGGGAAAAAGGGCCCCCCGCCUUAAAACGGGGGUGCAAUUAAAAGUCCCAAGCGACUGUUUAACAAAAACACAUGGCUUUGCAAAAUCGAAAGAUAAAGUAUAAGGCCUGACACCUGCCCGGUGCCGGAAGGUUAAAAGGAGAAGUUAUCUGGUAGCAAUAUUGGAAACGCUUCGAAUUGAAGCCCCGGUAAACGGCGGCCGUAACUAUAACGGUCCUAAGGUAGCGAAAUUCCUUGUCGGGUAAGUUCCGACCUGCACGAAUGGUGUAACGACUUGGGAGCUGUCUCAGUCAUGAGCUCGGUGAACUUGUAGUUCCGGUGAAGAUGCCGGAUUCCCGCAUUGGGACGGAAAGACCCCGUGAACCUUCACUACAACUUAACAUUGACUUUGGGUAAAUAAUGCGUAGCAUAGGUGGGAGACGAUGAAGUGGCAUUUUCGGGUGCCAUGGAGUCAUCAGUGAAAUACCACCCUUUAUUUAGUUGAGGCCUAAUCUCGUACCAACGAGAAACAGUGUUUGGUGGGUAGUUUGACUGGGGUGGUCGCCUCCAAAAAAGUAUCGGAGGCUUUCAAAGGUGCCCUCAGCACGCUUGGUAACCGUGUGUAGCGCGUAAUAGCAUAAGGGCGCUUGACUGUGAGAUAAACAAAUCUAGCAGGGUCGAAAGACGGAUAUAGUGAUCCGGUGGUUCCGUAUGGAAGGGCCAUCGCUCAAAGGAUAA
rnacentral:rRNA from 1 species